UACAGAGGUCUCAAGCGUUGUUCGGAUUCAUUGGGCGUAAAGGGUGCGUAGGCGGUCGUGCAAGUCGGAUGUGAAAUCUCAGGGCUCAACCCUGAAACUGCAUUCGAUACUGCGCGGCUAGAGUGCUGGAGGGGAGACUGGAAUUUACGGUGUAGCAGUGAAAUGCGUAGAUAUCUGGAGGAACACCGGUGGCGAAGGCGGCAUCCUGGACCGAGAUUGACGCUGAGGCGCGAAAGCCAGGGGAGCAAACGGG
rnacentral:rRNA from 1 species